rnacentral:tRNA from 1 species
GGGAAGAAAAUCGGGAAUUAACUAUAUCGCUAAUUUAUAGAUAAUUAAAAGUAAAUAAAAAUGAAAGAAAAUAGAAGAAAACGCCACAAAUCUGCCUUACAAGCAGAGGGUCGGCGGUUCGAAUCCGUCAACGCCCA